AAAAAAUAACUGAGUUGUUUGGUGGUGGAGCUACAACAGAGGGCAGCUAUCCACCGAUGUGUGAGAGAAAGGACAUGCCGCGAACGAGACAUACAAGGCGGUGAGGCUACCGCCGAUCGUCCGGUGUUUGCUAAGGCGGAGGUCAAUCGUGGAUCAGGGAAAGCGAAGGCAGGAGCGUGAGGUGAACUGAAUUUCAGGUAAGAAGUUAUGACCUGCACUCUAUUUGGGUCAGAUAUAAACCGAGUUUAGGUGUAGUUUAUUUAGCAGCAGUUCUCUUAUGUGUUGCUGAUAGCCGGCUAGCUAGCUAGCGCCGCUAGCAUAGUUAGCUCGCGCCGCUAGCGACCCUUCGUGAAAAAGCACCCAGGCUUGGCUUAUAUUGAGGCGGGUGAAACUCGUGUCAGCACCCGGUCGCUCGCCGACAGUAUGUGUUUUAGCUGGACUUAUUUUUCGUUUAUAUGGGCAGAUGAUGCUGGAAACCGAAGGCAGGAGCAUGAGGUGAACUGAAUUUCAGGUAAGAAGUUAUGAAC
ensembl:lncRNA